UACGUAGGGUGCAGGCGUUAAUCGGAAUUACUGGGCGUAAAGCGUGCGCAGGCGGUUUGCUAAGACAGGUGUGAAAUCCCCGGGCUUAACCUGGGAACCGCAUUUGUGACUGCAUAGCUGGAGUACGGCAGAGGGGGAUGGAAUUCCGCGUGUAGCAGUGAAAUGCGUAGAUAUGCGGAGGAACACCGAUGGCGAAGGCAGUCCCCUGGGCCUGUACUGACGCUCAUGCACGAAAGCGUGGGGAGCAAACAGG
rnacentral:rRNA from 1 species